rnacentral:rRNA from 1 species
CCUACGGGUGGCAGCAGUGAGGAAUAUUGGUCAAUGGGCGGAAGCCUGAACCAGCCAAGUAGCGUGCAGGAUGACGGCCCUACGGGUUGUAAACUGCUUUUAUACGGGAGUAACGCGCCUUACGAGUAGGCCUUUGCCUGUACCGUAUGAAUAAGGACCGGCUAAUUCCGUGCCAGCAGCCGCGGUAAUACGGAAGGUCCGGGCGUUAUCCGGAUUGUUUGGGUGUAAAGGGAGCGUAGGCGGCAUGUCAAGCGUGCUGUGAAAUGUCCGGGCUCACCCCGGGCCUUGCUGCGGAUACUGGCGUGCUUGAGUCCGGGGAAGGCAAGCGGAAUUCGUGGUGUAGCGGUGAAAUGCUUAGAUAUGACGAGGAACACCAAUUGCGAAGGCAGCUUGCUGCAGCGGAACUGACGCUGAUGCUCGAAAGCGCGGGUAUCGAACAGGAUUAGAUACCCGUGUAGUC